rnacentral:rRNA from 1 species
GUAGGGUCCAAGCGUUAAUCGGAAUUACUGGGCGUAAAGCGUGCGCAGGCGGUUGUGCAAGACCGAUGUGAAAUCCCCGGGCUUAACCUGGGAAUUGCAUUGGUGACUGCACGGCUAGAGUGUGUCAGAGGGGGGUAGAAUUCCACGUGUAGCAGUGAAAUGCGUAGAGAUGUGGAGGAAUACCGAUGGCGAAGGCAGCCCCCUGGGAUAACACUGACGCUCAUGCACGAAAGCGUGGGGGGAGCAAACAGGAUUAGAUACCCUGGUAGUCCACGCCCCUAAACGAUGUCAACUAGUUGUUGGGGAUUCAUUUCCUUAGUAACGUAGCUAACGCGUGAAGUUGACCGCCUGGGAUACGGUCGCAAGAUUA